CCUCCUUACCUAUACGACUAACUCAAUAUCUAAAGUGCAGAGAUGCAUGUGAGUGUUCACACAGAUUACUUGUUAACUUCUUCGGAAGUAGAGUGAAACACACCGCUUGCCGGUUAAGUGUUGUUCUUUAACAAUUUGGAAAGCUGAUAGUACUAACUAAAGGCGCAUGAAUGACGAUUCGUUGUUAUUGAUGUGAUUACGUUAGUGCGAAAAACGUUAAUGCGAAAGCAUUAACACUUGAGUUCUCAAAACACUGUUUUAAGUGUCUUGAAUAUUUCUAAAAACUAAGGCGAGUCCACUUCCUGGUCGGAGGUGAGACAAGUAAAAACCAGCUGGUCAUGAUAUGGCCCAGAUGUUCACGCAAGUGAAAACUCAUUUGGGUUUG
rnacentral:misc_RNA from 1 species